rnacentral:rRNA from 1 species
GAUGAACGCUGGCGGCGUGCUUAACACAUGCAAGUCGAACGAGAAUCAACGGAUUGAGGAUUCGUCCAAAUGAAGUUGAGGAAAGUGGCGGACGGGUGAGUAACGCGUGAGGAACCUGCCUCGGAGUGGGGAAUAACAGCUGGAAACGGCUGCUAAUACCGCAUGACGCAUGACUGGGGCAUCCCGGACAUGCCAAAGAUUUUAUCGCUGAAAGAUGGCCUCGCGUCUGAUUAGCUGGUUGGUGAGGUAACGGCCCACCAAGGCGACGAUCAGUAGCCGGACUGAGAGGUUGACCGGCCACAUUGGGACUGAGAUACGGCCCAG